AGAGUUUGAUCCUGGCUCAGAAUGAACGCUGGCGGCGCGCCUAAUACAUGCAAGUCGAGCGAGAAGACGUAGCAAUACGUUUGUAAAGCGGCGAACGGGUGAGGAAUACAUUGGUAACCUACCCUCGAGUGGGGAAUAACUAGCCGAAAGGUUAGCUAAUACCGCGUACGCUUCUUGGACUUCGGUUCAGGGAGGAAAGCGAUACCGUGGGUAUCGCGCUCUUGGAUGGGCUCAUGUCCUAUCAGCUUGUUGGUGAGGUAACGGCUCACCAAGGCUUCGACGGGUAGCUGGUCUGAGAGGACGAUCAGCCACACUGGCACUGCGACACGGGCCAGACUCCUACGGGAGGCAGCAGUAAGGAAUAUUGCGCAAUGGGCGAAAGCCUGACGCAGCGACGCCGCGUGGGGGAUGAAGGUCUUCGGAUUGUAAACCCCUUUCGGGAGGGAAGAUGGAAUGGGGUAACCCAUUCGGACGGUACCUCCAGAAGCAGCCACGGCUAACUUCGUGCCAGCAGCCGCGGUAAUACGAAGGUGGCAAGCGUUAUUCGGAUUUACUGGGCGUACAGGGAGCGUAGGCGGUUCGGUAAGCCCUUUGUGAAAUCUCCAGGCUUAACCUGGAACAGUCGGAGGGGACUGCCGGGCUAGAGGACGGGAGA
rnacentral:rRNA from 1 species